UUUGUAUCUAGUGGUAAAUUUACACAGUGUAAAGAUGAGCUAUACAAGAAAUCUAUGAAAGCUUGUUUUGGAUUACAACAAUGCCUAGCAUCAUCAAAUCCUAGUGUCUUAACUUUAAUUCACCUUUAUGACCAUACAAUUAAACCUAGUUUAAUGUAUGGCAGUGAAAUAUGGGAAUGUUUUCAACCACUUCAGUGGCAUGUAAGAAGAAUAAUGAUUAUAUUUUAGAAAAGGUUUAUU
rnacentral:lncRNA from 1 species